UUGAAUUUUUUUAGGAUUCUGGUGAGAAACUGUUGUUCCUCUAAGUAUAAAUUUUUGGUUAAGUUUUGAUAUUUUUGUUCAAUAACGGGUUCUAUGACUUCAGCAUUAUUGAUCUCCUCUGGUGGAGCGUAAUUGAAAGGGAUUCUGGUUGGUCCUAUUUGUUCCCGAUCGCGUUUGUUUUUGUAGGUUUUCCUUGCCAUGUCCUCUGGAUCGAGUUUGGCGUAGCCGAACAUUUUACAAUAACUAAUUAACAACCGAAACCGACUGUGCCAGUUAUGAGAUAGUACACCCGGCUAUUCAAAAUAAAUAAUAAUAAUAUUCAAAAUAA